CACGUAGGGUGCGAGCGUUGUCCGGAAUUAUUGGGCGUAAAGAGCUCGUAGGCGGUGUGUCGCGUCGGCCGUGAAAACCUGCAGCUUAACUGUGGGCUUGCGGUCGAUACGGGCAUCACUGGAGUUCGGCAGGGGGAGACUGGAAUUCCUGGUGUAGCGGUGAAAUGCGCAGAUAUCAGGAGGAACACCGGUGGCGAAGGCGGGGU
rnacentral:rRNA from 1 species